GAAGAAUAACUCUCUUCAAAACCUGUGGACCUAUACCAGCUGUAUUCAGCGCCGUUCUUUCGGCGGGCUCACCGCGGUUCCGGGCCACCCCUCCGGGGGGGUUUCGGCGCCUAGGUGCCCGCCGGAGGCGGCGAAACCAAACCCUUACUGUAUUUUCAGGCCUCUGUGAUUAAAAAACAAAUAAGUCA
rnacentral:misc_RNA from 1 species